rnacentral:lncRNA from 1 species
CACAGCUUCAGUACCACCCUCUCCAUUUGUGAAUUUUUUUCUUAUGUUGCACUUUCAUACCUGUAGGAUAUGAUUCAGAAUUUCUCUUAAACUAAGGCUUUUCCAGUUAAACCGCUGGCAUUGGAAUAACGAACGGUAGGGAGAUAGCUCCAGGCUUCUCCCUGAGAAUUCGGAGACCCAAAUGGCCUCUCUUUGGCAGCCUCAUCUUGCCGGGCUAGGCAUCUCAUUCUUUCAGGGUUCCAGCUGUUCACACCUGGGGAUUUUGGCUCACCUACAACAAAACAACCACCAGAACAAAAAGCAAAGAGGCAGACAGGCAGACGCAAAAUAGACAGAAGUUCCAAUCUGUGUGCCAGUGAGUCCUUAACCUACACGAAGAAACAGCACGGCAAAGGGGAUGUCAGCAUGCCAUCCAUCCACUUCCUUCCUUUAACAGCAUCCUGCCUCGUGGUUCUGGUGGGAAGUCCACCGCUCCAGGAACCGGGAGACCUGAGUCUGCUACUGACUGCCCAGGUAAGAAGCAGCAUCUUUAAGUGGCAAGUCAGCUGGAAAAGAGAGGGAGGCUAAGAUUCCAG